rnacentral:rRNA from 1 species
UACGGAGGGUGCAAGCGUUACCCGGAAUCACUGGGCGUAAAGGGCGUGUAGGCGGUGAUAUAAGUCUAGUUUUAAAGACCGUAGCUCAACUACGGGGGUGGACUAGAUACUGUAUAACUAGACGACUGGAGAGAGAACCGGAAUUCCUGGUGUAGCGGUGGAAUGCGUAGAUACCAGGAGGAACACCAAUGGCGAAGGCAGGUUCUUGGACAGAAGGUGACGCUGAGGCGCGAAAGUGUGGGGAGCGAACCGG